ensembl:miRNA
CUUUUUGCGGUCUGGGCUUGCUGUCAAAUGACUAUCCAGGAAGCCCUUACCCCAAAAAGCAU